rnacentral:lncRNA from 15 species
AGAGGGAAUACUGGGAAUAUCUGCUUCAUGGAGACGUUUGGAGGACGAGAGGAAGAAGAAAAGAGGACAUAAGACGAAGAACUGGAGUUUGUUGUGAGUUAGAAGGUCAGUCAGCCACGGCCACACAAACAAACACAAACAAACAAACAAAUACAGGGUCGCUGCGUCUGUUGCUCGCUGACUAACAGCUAAACAAACAAACAAUCGGUGAAAUUCACUCGAGUUACAUUAAGGUGACAAUGAGAGCUUAUUGUGAGAAUGAACAUUACCUUUUAAACAGUCGUUGUUGUUGUUUUCUUGCUGUUAUUGUCAGAGGAAAUCAACGCCACCUGUUGAUGAGCGUUCAGUGAAAGCGACAAGCGAACAGCGUCUCGAACAACAAAGACAAACAAAGUGACUGUUUCUGGAUCUUUGGAUAUAUUGAUUGUUUGUUUGUUGCUCUGUCAAUAAUUAGACUUUAUUGUGUGUCUGAUGGCUGCAGGAGGACUGCUGCUGAGGCUCUGUGGGAACUAUGGAAGAGUCUUCAGUUUCUUACAGGUUGAAGGCUGAUGUCCAGAGUUACAGGAGGACUGGUGUUGACACGGCCUGCAGGAAACACAGAAGAGUCUUCAGAUAUUGGAGAGGUCCGUGGGGUGAAAUCCAACCUCAAAAUUAACCCAAAUGCCAUCGCUCCCAACCAGUACCCCGGACACGCUGCUGUAACAGUCUUCCACCGCAAUGCUGUGGUAUGUAUCUUACAUUAUUCUUGUAUAUGUAGUAGUGUCUAAUAUAACAUAGUUGUGUCUAGUUUAAUUUAAUUUAAUAUAAUGUAGUAUAAUAUAAUAGUGUCUAAUUUAAUUUAAUUUAAUAUAAUAUAGUAGUGUCUAAUUGAAUUGAAUUUAAUAUAAUUUAAUAUAAUAUAAUGUCUAAUUUAAUUUAAUAGAAUAGUGUUUAAUGUAAUAUGUAGUAUAAUAUAAUAUAGUAGUGUCUAAUUUAAUUUAAUAUAAUAGUGUUUAAUUUAAUAUAAAAGUAUUUAAUGGAAUAUAUAGUAUAAUAUAAUAUAGUACUGUCUAAUAUAAUGUAAUGUAAUAGUGUCUAAUUUAAUUUCAUAUAAUUUAAUAUAAUAUAAUAUAGUAGUGUUUAAUUUAAUAUAAUAGUGUCUCAUUUAAUUUCAUAUAAUAGUAUUCAAUGUAAUAUAGUAUAAUAUAAUAUAGUAGUGUCUAAUUUAAUGUAAUGUAAUAUAAUAGUGUUUAAUGUAAUAUAGUAUAGUAUAAAAUAAUAUAGUAGUGUCUAAUUUAAUUUAAUAAAUAAUAUAAUAGUAGUGUCUAAUAUAAU